rnacentral:lncRNA from 1 species
CGGCAUAUGGAGAUUCCCAGGCUAGGAGUCAAAUCAGAGCUGUAGUCGCCGGCCUACACUAGAACCAGAGCAAUGCGGGAUCUGAGCCGCGUCUGGGACCUACACCACAGCUCAUGGCAAUGCCAGAUCCUUAACCCACUGAGCAAUGCCAGGGAUCGAACCCCCAACCUCAUGGUUCCUAGUCAGAUUCGUUAACCAGUGAGCCACGAUGGGAACUCCCAAUAUUGUGUUUUAUAUUACAGUGCAUUUUAAGAAUAAGAGGAGUCUAUGGUAAGGCAGUUCCAAGGUACCACAAUUUCCUAUACAACGUAAAUACUAAAUAAAAGGGGAAAAAUAGCACAAAAAAUUGAUCAUUCUUUCCCUCCGUAUCAGUAUAAUGAAAAUAGUACUGUUUACAUAAGUAAGUACAGAAGUUACUAUUUACAGAAUUCUACAAGUUUGUCUUCAAAGAUAAAUGACUGGAGUGCCAUUAAUUUGGGGUCCGAUUAUUGCAUAUUAUAUCAUCUUUGUCUUAAAAAAGGUAGUUUUAUUCUCUGAAAUCAUGAUAUCAUGACAACUUGGAAUACUCACUGCUAAUCUACCACCGAUAGUCACUUUUGUUAUAAAAUUGCUAUAGUUGAUCUUGCUUUCAAUAAACCAUUGUCAAUUUAAGGAUAUCUGGCUAUAACCUGACAUUUACUCAAGAAACAGUGAAAUUAAGUUCUUGUUCAAUUGGCUACAACCAAAAAAGUAUCAGAGUGAUUUAGUCAUUCAAUGACUAUCUCCUGGGUCCCGGUAUGAAUAAAGCAGAACUCAGUGUAAUGACAGCUUUGUCUAAUCAAGGAAGCCAGUAUGAUGAGGUAAAGAAUCAGACGACUUGAAGGGUAUAUCAGAAACCCUGUUGUUUUCAUUUUCUUUCCUCCACUUAAAACUAUAAAUGAGGCCAAAAGUAGUUAAAAUAUUAGGAAGGUUAUUUAGAAAAGAUAAUUCACAAAACAACCCUCAGGAACUUAAUUCCAAAGAAUUUAACCUGAUUUUUUUUAAAUUUUAUGUUUUUUAUUUUUUUCCCAUUAUAGCUGGUUUACAGUAUUCUUUCAAUUUUCUACUGGACAGCAUGGUGACCCAGUUACACAUACAUGUAUACAUUCUUUUUUUUCACAUUAUCAUGCCCAUCAUAAGUGACCAGACAUAGUUCCCAGUGCUAUGAAUCUAGAUGCUGGUCCCUUUUUAGUUUGAGUUUAAGAAUCUGAUUAAAGAAAUUGUUUUAAGUUGCAAAGUAUGAGACACUAACAUCCAAAACUGUACCACUUAGAAAUAACUACUUACGAACCAAUACAACCAGAUAAACCAUAGAUUUGAGAAUAAAAAUCAAAAGAACCAGCAAAGUUCUGAGAGAGUCCUUUCCUGGCAAAGUCAAAGACAUAGCUAGACUUCAACUCUGGAUAAUUUCUAAGUGUCAUAAAUCACUCCAGGUUUUUAAACUAUAUUUGAGAAUUAAACAUGAAGUGAAUCCCAUAACUUUAUUCUAUGACAAUAAAUUCAGUUGAAUAAGCCACAAAGAUCUAAACUAUUCAAGGGAGAACAAACUUGAAACAAGAACCAAACAGUCUUGAAGCUGAACAACAGUAGUCUCCAUACUCCUUGAUCCAAAAAGUGUGUGUUGUAGGGGGGAGUGGUGGUGGUAGAAUUCCAACAUCUUAGUAACUGCAACUUCUGCUCAUUUUCAAACAACUCCUACACAAGCAAAAAUACCUAUAAAGAAGACUAAUGCCUACACAGAGAGAGGUUACUUAAAGUUUACCCAAACUUUUUGGGAAAAAAAGCCCAAUGGGACUACAAAUCCCUGGAGUCCUGCUUUUUACUUCUGUCCCUUAUGCCUUUGAUUAUACAGAAAAGAACAAUAAUUAGAAAAAGUAUCAUUCAAUUUUAACACUUCUCCAGAUCCAUCCUUAUCAUUCAAAAAUUAUUCAGCCUUACUCUCAUGUUUGAGGAAGUGAGAAUUCCAGGAAUUUUGACUGUCUGGCUCAUUGUAUCACAAUUUCCAGGUAACUUAUGUAAUGUUACUGGGAGUAGCAGAAGAGAAAGAAAACAACUGUGCAAAAAAGCCUUUAGGGAUUUUUGUAUUUGGCUGGUUAAAAUGUUCAGAAUUAUUUAAGAGUUGGAAAAGGAACAAUAAGCCACACCCUCAAAGAGCUCCAGUCUGAAUUCCACCAUUAGUUUAUUGUUUUCCAAUCCAAAACUUCAGUGUACUAACGAGAAUAAAAGAAAAGUGCACCCCCAAAAAUGUGCUGACAUAAUUCGAGCUUCCCUGGAAAUCAAACUUCUAAAACAUAAUUUGGUUACAGAACAUAGACUGAAUUUAUUACUUUACACCUUACUCUUUAUGGAUAUAAAGUACUACUGGCUUCUUCCCAAGGUGAAAAAAAAAAAAAAAAAAGCGGUUUUUACAAGCGCUGCUAAGCAUGGAAUUUGUUAGGACACAGUGCUGUCCUGGAUUUCACAGCAGAAGAAGCUGUUAGAAAAUGAUCUCACGUAUAACACGGUCCUUUAGCAAAGAUGCCGAAGAUGCUGCUAUGAAGCCGCUGCAGGGUAUAGCUAUAAUGUAUACAGCUACAGGAGCCAUGCACCAUGGUAUCAUCAGGGCUAAAGCUGGGCUACAGUUUCUCAUGCAAUUUUACAGUGGAAUUAAUUACAAAAGAAAAUUAACAAGAUGUAGUUAGAUCAUUACUGUUUAGCAAAUGGCUGUAAUACCUCCCUCCCAAAUAUUAUUUGUUGAAGCUGUGUUUCUCAGCUACCACAGGGGUAAAAGAGUCUUUGAGUCUGUUUUCUUUUUAAAAACAAACUUUCUCUAUUUCACCUUAUUAACUACCAGUAGAAUCAUCCCAAAAAUCCAAGAUGAAGUGGGCAAGGAGGUUAAAGAUUGGCUUGAAAGCCGGAAAGAAUUUCAACACGCGCCUUCCAACAGUGACCCUGUGGAGAAGCUGUGUCCUGACGUUUGGGGGACUGACUUACUGGCUCUGUGAUGCCAGGCAUCACACUCAGUGUUUUGGACAGAGGAUUUCAGUUAAGACGCAUGACAGACUAGUGAGGUAAAUUAUACUGUUAUCCAUUUUACUGGGGCAGAAACACAGAUUAGGUAACUUUCCAAAGAUCCAGCAAGUUGGUGAUAGAGUUGGUGACAGAGACUCCUACUCAGACAAUCUGACUCCCAAAUUCACACUUUCAGCCCCUUUGCUGCACGGCCCCUUAUCACAUUAGGCUAUGCUCUUUCCAUCUCUUUCUUCCUCAAAAGAUCACCAGUGUGGUCACCAGUGAAGAACCAAGUAUGAUUCUGAUUCUCUCUGCUUCAGUAAAAUGUUAAUUCCAAACACCUACAGCAAUAAUUUCCCAGAAUCUCCAUGCUUCAUUCAUUCAACAUUUUUUUUUCUUUUUCAGGGCCACACCUGCAGCAUAUGGAAGCUCCCAGGAUAGGGGUCGAAUCAGAGCUGCAGCUGCCAGCCUAGACCACAGCCACAUCAAUGCCAGAUCUGAGCAGUGUCUGCAAUCUACACCACAACUCACAGCAAUGUAGGAUCCUUAAUCCACUGAGUGAGGCCAGGGAUCAAACCCCCAUCCUCAUAGAUAUUAGGUUCAUAACCCACUGAGCCACAACAGGAACUCCCAUUCAACAUCUUGACAAAGAUUUACUGACUCCCUCUAAUUUAUGAACAAAAACUGACUAAUGCAUAACUUCUACCCAAAAAGUUUAUAACCCAUUACUUAUAAAGGACUAUACCAAUAGUUGAAAUAAAUUAAAUGAAUUAAUAAUCAGAUCAUCACACUCUUCUGCGUAAAUCUAUACCAAGAGCUUAAAUUUAACACACCCUGAACAUACUAGUUCACACAUUGUUACAUGAACUGUCCUCUCCCCAUCUCUUUGAGAGCAUCUCUUACUACUACUCCUUGCUCAAGAUGCUGAAGACACUUGACCUUCCUCUUACUCUGGGAACUCACCAAGAUUUCUCCUGUUUGUGGAUCUUUGUGCCUUUUUUCUCUACUUCUACACCUUCCCACAGCUGGCUCAUUCUUUGCAUUCAAGUCACCGUCUAAUGUCACUUUCUCAAAGAGGCCCACCCUGAACCACUGGAUGUAAUCUGGCCUAUACCCUCCUCCGCCUGACACCCCCAAAUAUUGUUCUAUGAUAAAUAUCUAAUGGUCCUCACAGCAUGCAUUACCAUCAGAAAUUACAUAUUUUUAAAUUUUAUUUUCUUGCUUAUGGUCUGUUUCCCCAUCCUCAACUGGAAGACAAGCCUCAGGAGACCAGGAGGCUGGUUGUGCACCUUCUCUGGAUAGGAAAGGUUUCACAAAAAUCAAUAGCAUGAGAUAUGGACUUCAAAAGAGACAUGGUGACUCAGCAGCAAUGGGUCCUAUGGGCACCGCACGGAAAGGAAAUAACAUGAGCAGAGUAUGAAGAGAGAAAUCUGGAGCAUGUUCAGGAAAGAUGGACUCAUCUAGUUGGGAAAGAAUACAUCCAAACACAGGAAAAGAAGACUGAGUUAACCUCAUGGAGGGUCUUCAGUGUCAGAAGGAAGAAUUCUGUGGAUGGUGAGGAGCCACAGAAAGUUUCUUAGCAAGGAAAUGACACAGGCAAAGCAUAGCAUAGCAUCAGCAAGAUGAAAGGCUGAUUUAAUAGUCCAGGCAAAGGAUACUAAUAACAUUUUAAGUAACUCUGAUAAAACUCUAAAAAUCUCUGCCUUUUUUUUUUUUAAUAGAAAACUCUCAAGAGAGAACAGGAAGAGAACUAUGAACUUAGUGCUGUUAACUAUUGGAACAGAAAGUACAAUGUUACGAAGUAUAAAGUUGAACAUAAUGAUGAAAUUUGUUUCUCUAAUAUCUGUUCAAAAGCCUUUUGCAAAAUAAACACAGAUUUUAUUAUAUCAAACCACCCAAAGUGACUCAUCUCUUUGGAAAUGCGUCUCUGGCAUCUUCUUUCCUCAGGCCUCAAAUUCUUUCAGAAAAUCAAGCAGAUUAGUAGGCCUGAUGACAGGACAGAAGUCAGAACUCGAAAUCCUAAAUCCACUUCUGCCACCGACUCUGUCUAACGUGGAGCUUUAUGUCAUUUUUGUAUUUAUAAAAUAUGGCGAGUGUUUUAUAAAUUAACUAAUCUGUUACUGGAAAGUAACACAUAGUUUCAAAAUAAUUGCACUUAUACACUGAAAUCAAUAAAGACUUUUAAUGGCAUCCCUUACAAAGUAUUCUUGAAUUAUCUCAUUUAUUUCUCAAUCAGGCAGGGAAAAUAGAAAUAUUCACAUUAAUGCAUAUAUGUGAGAGUGUGUAGUCUUACAAACAGUGGCUCUGUCCUUAAAAAUUCCCAGAUAACAAAAAUGAAAAAAAAAAGUUUCUUUUCAAAAGACAUGAUGAUGUAAACAUCAGGAAGUUUAAAAUAACACUUGUAUAAACUGUUUGAAUUGAAGAGAAAAAAACACACCCCAAAAGAGUUUUGUCAGAAUAAAAAGAAAACAAAUCCCAAAUCCUGACAGUAACAUAAAAGCCAAAUUCUCCCCCUUCCUUUCAUAAUGGCUUUUCUAUUGAGCUUCAUUUUGACCUUUCAUUACUUUCCCAACAUUGAAGAAUAUUGCCUUUCAAAACUCUCCAUUUCUCUGCCGGUUGUACUAUUAUUCCUUCUCCCAUUGUUGAGAGUUCUUAGCUACUGUGGUUCCACUAUGAAAUGCACAACCUUCAGUUUCUGCCAAACAAAUACAAACCAGCAUUUCUGCACAAUUUCCACUUUAAAUUCAUACCCUGCAUAAAGAGAAAGAGAAUCAUAAAGCCAUAAACAUGCCAAGAAGCAGAAAACAGGAAAGUUCGUUAUCUAUUUGCUAGAAAAGAAACAAUCCAUCUUAUAAUCAAUCUAUAGUUAAGGCACCCUGCACCCUCCCUCCUCCGCUGCAACAGGAUGUGCCCUCCUCAGAAGAACACAAACAGCCUUAAUUCAUUAGUCAGAGCUGGGAGGGUGGACCAAGUGCAUGAUCUGAUUGAUAAAGUUUCAUUACAAAUUAGCCCAUCUCUUUGAUGAAAACAAGCAAGGCAGAGACUGUACCAUAAUUUUCUCCUCAUAAAUGAGUCAACCAGACAAACACUAAACAGAGCUUGCCACAUGAGGGGCAAACUAAUUUAAUUAAUUCAUACACAGCACCUCAUUAAGAGCAGUUUUAGCACUGAGGUUGUGAUCUUGUUGAGUCUGCAUCAUUUUCCACAAAGAUGCCCACUUAGUUCUCAGUGAUGAGGGGCCAGAAAAGGGGCAAGAUAUAUGCUUCUG